rnacentral:rRNA from 1 species
CGCGGCCUAUCAGCUUGUUGGUGAGGUAAUGGCUCACCAAGGCGUCGACGGGUAGCCGGCCUGAGAGGGUGACCGGCCACACUGGGACUGAGACACGGCCCAGACUCCUACGGGAGGCAGCAGUGGGGAAUAUUGCACAAUGGGCGGAAGCCUGAUGCAGCAACGCCGCGUGAGGGAUGACGGCCUUCGGGUUGUAAACCUCUUUUAGCAGGGAAGAAGCGAAAGUGACGGUACCUGCAGAAAAAGCGCCGGCUAACUACGUGCCAGCAGCCGCGGUAAUACGUAGGGCGCAAGCGUUAUCCGGAAUUAUUGGGCGUAAGGAGCUCGUAGGCGGUUUGUCGCGUCUGCUGUGAAAUCUGGGGGCUCAACCCCCAGCCUGCAGUGGGUACGGGCAGACUAGAGUGCGGUAGGGGAGAUUGGAAUUCCUGGUGUAGCGGUGGAAUGCGCAGAUAUCAGGAGGAACACCGAUGGCGAAGGCAGAUCUCUGGGCCGUAACUGACGCUGAGGAGCGAAAGGGUGGGGAGCAAACAGGCUUAGAUACCCUGGUAGUCCACCCCGUAAACGUUGGGAACUAGUUGUGGGGUCCAUUCCACGGAUUCCGUGACGCAGCUAACGCAUUAAGUUCCCCGCCUGGGGAGUACAA